rnacentral:tRNA from 1 species
UUCCCUGUGGCUCAGUUGGUAGAGCAUGGUGUUUGCAAUGCCAGCAUGGUGUGUGCAACGCCAGGGUUGUGGGUUUGAUUCCCACGGGGGGAC